rnacentral:rRNA from 1 species
GGUGCUAAUACCGGAUAAGAAAGCGGAUCGCAUGAUCAGCUUUUAAAAGGACGGCGUAAGCUGUCGCUAUGGGAUGGCCCCGCGGUGCAUUAGCUAGUUGGUAAGGUAAAGGCUUACCAAGGCGAUGAUGCAUAGCCGAGUUGAGAGACUGAUCGACCACAUUGGGACUGAGACACGGCCCAAAACUCCUACGGGAGGCAGCAGGC